rnacentral:rRNA from 1 species
AUUGAACGCUGGCGGCAUGCCUUACACAUGCAAGUCGAACGGUAACAGGUCUUCGGAUGCUGACGAGUGGCGAACGGGUGAGUAGUGCAUCGGAACGUGCCCAGUAGUGGGGGGUAGCCCGGCGAAAGCCGGAUUAAUACCGCAUACGACCUGAGGGUGAAAGGGGGGGCUCGCAAGACCUCUUGCUAUUGGAGCGGCCGAUGUCAGAUUAGCUAGUUGGUGGGGUAAAGGCCUACCAAGGCAACGAUCUGUAGUUGGUCUGAGAGGACGACCAGCCACACUGGGACUGAGACACGGCCCAGACUCCUACGGGAGGCAGCAGUGGGGAAUUUUGGACAAUGGGCGCAAGCCUGAUCCAGCAAUGCCGCGUGCAGGAAGAAGGCCUUCGGGUUGUAAACUGCUUUUGUCAGGGAAGAAAUCUUCUGGGUUAAUACCUCGGGAGGAUGACGGUACCUGAAGAAUAAGCACCGGCUAACUACGUGCCAGCAGCCGCCGUAACAC